rnacentral:rRNA from 1 species
UGAGGAAUAUUGGUCAAUGGGUGCAAGCCUGAACCAGCCAUCCCGCGUGAAGGACGACUGCCCUAUGGGUUGUAAACUUCUUUUGUAUAGGGAUAAACCUACCCUCGUGAGGGUAGCUGAAGGUACUAUACGAAUAAGCACCGGCUAACUCCGUGCCAGCAGCCGCGGUAAUACGGAGGGUGCAAGCGUUAUCCGGAUUUAUUGGGUUUAAAGGGUCCGUAGGCGGACUUAUAAGUCAGUGGUGAAAGCCUGUCGCUUAACGAUAGAACUGCCAUGGAUACUGUAAGUCUUGAGUAUAUUUGAGGGAUCUGGAAUAAGUAGGGUAGCGGUGAAGUGCAUAGAUAUUACUUAGAACACCAAUUGCGAAUGCAUGUUACCAAGAUAUAACUGACGCUGA